rnacentral:rRNA from 1 species
GACGAACGCUGGCGGCGUGCUUAACACAUGCAAGUCGAACGAUGAAAGCUGGAGCUUGCUUUAGCUGGAUUAGUGGCGAACGGGUGAGUAACACGUGAGCAAUCUGCCCCUGACUCUGGGAUAACUUCGAGAAAUCGAAGCUAAUACCGGAUACGACCCUUCCAGGCAUCUGGUGAGGGUGGAAAGAACUUCGGUCAGGGAUGAGCUCGCGGCCUAUCAGCUAGUUGGUGAGGUAAUGGCUCACCAAGGCGACGACGGGUAGCCGGCCUGAGAGGGUGACCGGCCACACUGGGACUGAGACACGGCCCAG